rnacentral:rRNA from 1 species
GACGAACGCUGGCGGCGUGCUUAACACAUGCAAGUCGAGCGGAAAGGCCACUUCGGUGGUACUCGAGCGGCGAACGGGUGAGUAACACGUGAGUAAUCUGCCCUUGGCUUUGGGAUAGCCACCGGAAACGGUGAUUAAUACCGGAUACGACAACUUCUCGCAUGGGAUGGUUGUGGAAAGUUUUUCGGCCAGGGAUGUGCUCGCGGCCUAUCAGCUUGAUGGUGAGGUAAUGGCUCACCAUGGCUUCGAC